rnacentral:rRNA from 1 species
GAUGAACGCUGGCGGCGUGCCUAAUACAUGCAAGUCGAGCGAACAGACGAGGAGCUUGCUCCUCUGACGUUAGCGGCGGACGGGUGAGUAACACGUGGAUAACCUACCUAUAAGACUGGGAUAACUUCGGGAAACCGGAGCUAACACCGGAUAAUAUAUUGAACCGCAUGGUUCAAUAGUGAAAGACGGUUUUGCUGUCACUUAUAGAUGGAUCCGCGCCGCAUUAGCUAGUUGGUAAGGUAACGGCUUACCAAGGCAACGAUGCGUAGCCGACCUGAGAGGGUGAUCGGCCACACUGGAACUGAGACACGGUCCAGACUCCUACGGGAGGCAGCAGUAGGGAAUCUUCCGCAAUGGGCGAAAGCUUGACGGAGCAACGCCGCGUGAGUGAUGAAGGUCUUCGGAUCGUAAAACUCUGUUAUUAGGGAAGAACAAAUGUUUAAGUAACUAUGCACGUCUUGACGGUACCUAAUCAGAAAGCCACGGCUAACUACGUG